CCACACGAACCAAAACAGCCAGGCAGCGGUCCUGGAGAAGGCAGUUCGGGACGACAUUAUCAUACUUGCGGUAUCGCUAUUGAUUAGCACUCGAAAGGAAAGCGAGCAUAGUGACGCUUCCAUGCCUGCUUUGUUCAGACAAGCGAGGAAAGCAGCUGUGUACAAUGCUGCAGAUCGCACGUCAUAUCUAGAGAGAGGCAGAAAUGAUCCCGUUUUAGGCAGAGCUGGCAUUCGGCAUGUUUUGGGGACAAAAUACUUGGAUUUGCAUAUUCUCUGGCUGGUGUUCUCUAAAUCUGUACGUGCUGUUUGAAGAAGUGGAGCUGAGUGAACACGUAGCCGCUACUAGCUAGCCACCUACUUGUGGACAUUUGUCAUUGACAUUUUUUUAUUUAAUUUAUUUCAUUUCAUUGGGACGGUGCACACUAAUCAACACAAGAGUAAAAACUGGCCAUCGUAGAUACUGUGAGAGAGUAUGGGACAAAUUCGCAAGAGUACCGUAUUUUCCGCACUAUAAGGUGCUUCGGAUUUUAAGGUGCACCUUCAAUGAAUUUGAAAACUUUUUUCAUAUAUUAGGUGCACUGCAUUAUAAAUCACAUAGAAGCUACAAUAGUGGCUCCGGUUGCGCCUUGCAUCCACUAGAUGGUGCUACACUAAAGGGAAUACAAUACAAUACAAUACAAUACAGCUUUAUUGAUAUAUAGCCUUCACAACCGCUGCAGCUGUAACAAGAACUGGUCACAAACAUGGACAUGAAACAUAAAAAUGGCAUUAUAAAACAACAAAUGAAAGACAAAAGUUAUGCAGAUAACUGAUUCAACAAAAAGGGCACACAGACCUUGUGGGCUCACAUCCACA